GAUGAACGCUGGCGGCGUGCCUAAUACAUGCAAGUAGAACGCUGAAGGAGGAGCUUGCUCUUCUGGAUGAGUUGCGAACGGGUGAGUAACGCGUAGGUAACCUGCCUGGUAGCGGGGGAUAACUAUUGGAAACGAUAGCUAAUACCGCAUGACAACAGUUAUUGCAUGAUAACUGUUUAAAAGGGGCAACUGCUCCACUACCAGAUGGACCUGCGUUGUAUUAGCUAGUUGGUGAGGUAACGGCUCACCAAGGCGACGAUACAUAGCCGACCUGAGAGGGUGAUCGGCCACCCUGGGACUUAGACACGGCCCAGACUCCUACGGGAGGCAGCAGUAGGGAAUCUUCGGCAAUGGACGGAAGUCUGACCGAGCAACGCCGCGUGAGGGAAGAAGGGUUUCGGAUCGUAAAGCUCUGUUGUAAGAGAAGAACGAGUGUGAGAGUGGAAAGUUCACACUGUGACGGUAUCUUACCAGAAAGGGACGGCUAACUACGUG
rnacentral:rRNA from 1 species